rnacentral:rRNA from 1 species
GAUGAACGCUGGCGGCGUGCCUAAUACAUGCAAGUCGAGCCCACGGACGAGAAGCUUGCUUCUCUGAUGUUAGCGGCGGACGGGUGAGUAACACGUGGAUAACCUACCUAUAAGACUGGGAUAACUUCGGGAAAGCGGCGCUAAUACCGGAUAAUAUUUUGAACCGCAUGGUUCAAAAGUGAAAGACGGUCUUGCUGUCACUUAUAGAUGGAUCCGCGCUGCAUUUGCUAGUUGGUAAGGUCACGGCUGACCAAGGCAACGAUGCAUAGCCGGCCUGAGAGGGUGAACGGCCACACUGGAACUGAGACACGGUCCAGACGCCUACGGGAGGCAGCAGUAGGGAAUGUUCCGCAAUGGGCGAAAGCCUGACGGAGCAAAGCCGCGGGAGUGAUGAAGGGCUUCGGAUCGUAAAACUCGGUUAUUAGGGAAGAACAUGUUUGUGAGGAACUGAUCACAUCUUGAGGGUACCUAAUCAGAGAGCCGCGGGUAAAUAAGUG